GCCUAAUACAUGCAAGUCGAGCGGACAGAUGGGAGCUUGCUCCCUGAUGUUAGCGGCGGACGGGUGAGUAACACGUGGGUAACCUGCCUGUAAGACUGGGAUAACUCCGGGAAACCGGGGCUAAUACCGGAUGGUUGUUUGAACCGCAUGGUUCAAACAUAAAAGGUGGCUUCGGCUACCACUUACAGAUGGACCCGCGGCGCAUUAGCUAGUUGGUGAGGUAACGGCUCACCAAGGCAACGAUGCGUAGCCGACCUGAGAGGGUGAUCGGCCACACUGGGACUGAGACACGGCCCAGACUCCUACGGGAGGCAGCAGUAGGGAAUCUUCCGCAAUGGACGAAAGUCUGACGGAGCAACGCCGCGUGAGUGAUGAAGGUUUUCGGAUCGUAAAGCUCUGUUGUUAGGGAAGAACAAGUACCGUUCGAAUAGGGCG
rnacentral:rRNA from 1 species